rnacentral:lncRNA from 1 species
UGGGCUGCCAUAAGUGCUCGUGUAUGUUCAUUUACGCUUCAUAGAUCAUGCUUGCUUGUUGGUGAAAUUUUGGCUUGUUUCUACUGAGUGAGAUCCUAGUGCCUAGAGACUUUUCAUCAGAUUGUUCUUCUAGUAUGUCACCUUAUUUUAAUGAUGUUCAGUAUCGAUUCAAGUGAUGUGGUCGCUUAUUCCUUGUGCUUCUCUUCCACAAAAAUAUUAUCAAUCAUUCAAUUUCCAAGGUGAGACCAUGUAUCCUGUGCUUAACAUCGUGCCAGAGCUAGAAUGGGUACAUUUGUCUGCAAGAAAUUGAUAGUUUUGCUGUUCCAGAGACUGGAGCUUUUCUUUGUCAUUUUUCUUGCAGGCCUGUCUUGAUAUUUUCGUAAACUUUGCAAUGCAUCGUCAAACGAGUUCUGGACAAUGGCAACCCGUCUUCUGUCACAAUAAAAUUUGCGUAAGUUGGCUGCUUCUUUCACACUCCUUAAUCCUUCCCAAAACAUGCUACUUUCACCUUGCAUCUUGCUAUCAGGUAUUUUGAUUCUUACCUCUUUCAAUCCUAAAUUCAAUGUUGUGUGAUUACCACAUGGCCAUAAUUCUGACUUUUGAUCAGAUCAUUUCUCUCGUAUGUUUAUUUUAAUGAUAUUCAGUUCAAGUGACGUGGUUGCUUAUUCCUUGUGCUUCUCUUCCAGACAAAUAUAAUCAAUCAUUCAGUUUCUAAGUUUCUAGAGACCCUCUGGCCUGUGUUCUGUGCCAGAGCUAAAAUGGUCACAUUAGUCUGGAAGAAAUUGAUGGCUUUGCUGUUCCAGAGAGCAUCUCUUGCCCUUUCCUCAAAAUGCUAUAACUGCAUUAAACUAGAUGGUACCUCUAUAUAGUGAGCAUUUGUUUUCUUAGCUUGUUGAAUCAUGUACUGGGAAUGACCUGAAGCUCAUCCGCAUGAUACAUUGGGUUGUACAUGAGAACUGCUGGUUUUAUCGACAGAACGUGUAUACUCCGUCCGUUCCUAAAUAUAAGUCUUUUUAGACAUUUCAAAUGGACUAUAACAUACGGAUGUAUGUAGACAUAUUCUAGAGUGUAGAUUCACUCAUUUUGCUCCGUAUGUAGUCACUUGUUGGAAUCUCUAAAAAGACUUAUAUUUGGGAACGGAGGGAGUAGAAUUCUCAAAAGAACCUUGGUGUGUUGUCAUGCAGCUUGGUAUGGAACAUAAUACGUUCAGUGGCUAUUAGGUCUUGCUCGCUCUCUGCACAAUUCUCUGAUGGAGCCUACCAGGUUAUGUACUACUCCCUCCGUCCCAAAAUAAGUGACUCAACUUUGUAUUAAAUUUGUUCUAAAGUUAGUACAAAGUUGAGUCACUUAUUUUGGGACGGAGGGAGUACUUCAAAAGAUGUUGCUUACGCUACUAGUUGUGCAAUGUAUACUGGAGGCAGCUAUUGCUGUUUGAUUCAGUGAUUUCAUUGAUGUUCUGAGAGGCACUCAUGUGUAGUGAACUCCCCUGUUUCCAGUUCAUAUGUGCAUAAACACAGCUCGUGGCAGCGCUUGGUUCUCAUCAUUAGCCAUCAGGCUGCCUUUAUAUAUGCGCACAUCUUUUCAAGUGUCCACUGAUACAUGUCUUCUUUUUAUCCCCAGGCACUCGAAAAAUCAAAAUAUGAAGAACAAUGGCUGGCGACAGUUCGUCGUUUCAUUGUAAUAUCUGAAAAGGAGCUCGGAUUUUUCUAUCGGUAUGUUGCACUUGAUGGAAAAACACAAUCCCAGAAUGCUGAUCUGGUUCAUGGUGGUGGCAAGAAAGCUUCUAAACUAGGAAUAGAGGGAUUGGAUCAUGGAAAGGACCAAGGACCGCAUCUGGCCUGUUACGGCCCCUGAUGCAUCAACGACAGCGUCCACUGAACAAGAGUCUGAUGAGGAGAUGUCAGUUCCUGGAGAUGGCGUUUGGUUAACUGAAGAAGGUUCAGAGAGGGAAACCGUCAAGCCCAGCCCAGCGUGGCCCCGGCGCACCACCCGCGUGGUUCGACCCAACCCCAAGGUCACCGGCCUGAACUGGACGCGCUGAGCAUAAAGGCGAAGGUACAGACACAGGUAGGGUUGUCGUCGGACCAGAACCUGAAGAAAGAAUCCCCUUGUCAUCUCACCUGCUCCUACUCUGAAUUCCUCUUUCUUCCUCAUCCCAAUUCUUCUUGUAUCACGACAUGUGUUCCCUGUAGAAACUCUGAUCCAUGGCAGCUUGCGUGCCAUAGCGAGUACAAAGGGGUGAGAUCUGUGUGCGCAAUUUGGGCUCCUAACAUGGCCUGUGGUGCUUUCUCUGAUAUACGUACUGACCUCAUGGAUGCAUCCGUGCCUGAUGAAGAACAUGAUUCCGGUAAUGAAUCUGGUGUCGAUGAUGUUGCGAGUGGAGAUGAUAUAUGCAGUUCUGAAGACACUGUUGUUUCUGCUCAUGGGGUGUUGUAUCAAGGGGAGUGAGGAAAAAAAUUGUCUGGUUGUCACUGUGUUAGCCACCUCCAAUUCGGCCAACAUGAGCAUGCCGUCUCAAUUCCAUUCACCAACUGGAGCUCGACGAUACGGAAGGUACAUCCAUGGCGCCCACACAACCUCUCGUGCACUUGACUACCCAUUAGCGGUAUUCUUCUUUUGACUUCUACCGCCAUGCCGCCGCCUGGAUCUCCGAUGGUAGUGAGUGCUAGCUCCAUUCUUCUUUUGACUUCUACCGCCAUGCCGCCGCCUGGAUCUCCGAUGAUGUUUCCUCCGUUAAUUUUAUGGUUCCGACACUGUUUCUUCGCUUCCAUGUCAACAUGUGCCACUCCCCUCGGAUAAAGGCAGAGGCAGUGGAUCGGAAGGAGGCCAGCAUGAGGCUUGACAUCAUGUCCGUUGAAGGGAAAAGCGUCGGUUCCCUGCUCCAGAAGGUGUGUAGUCAUGCGCGCCGAGAACCGAAGCAUGGUGGCUGGAAGCGAGCAUCCGAAUUGUCUUUGGUUCCUUGUUACCACAAGAGCGAGAAAGCAAGUAUACAACACAACGCUAGCGAAACCCAAAGCAACACAUCUGAACUAAAAAGAAAUUGAAAAAUGUUUUUCACCAGCUGACAAUCAGAGUCCAUCAGGGAAAAAAGCUCAAAACUCUUUUAUCUCUCCAUUCCUUAGAGCUUAUCAGAUGAACUGAAAAAGAAAAAAAAAA